rnacentral:rRNA from 1 species
CCUAGCUUGCUAGGUGGAUUAGUGGCGCACGGGUGAGUAAUAUAUAGAUAACGUGCCUCUUAGUCUGGGAUAGCCAUUGGAAACGAUGAUUGAUACUAGAUACUCCUUCUAACUCUAAUGUUAGUUGGGAAAGUUUUUCGCUAAGAGAUCGGUCUAUAUCCCAUCAGCUAGUUGGUAGUGUAAGAGACUACCAAGGCAAUGACGGGUAGCGGGUUUGAGAGGAUGAUCCGCCACACUGGUACUGAGACACGGACCAGACUCCUACGGGAGGCAGCAGUGAGGAAUAUUGCACAAUGGAGGAAACUCUGAUGCAGCAACGCCGCGUGGAGGAUGACGCAUUUCGGUGUGUAAACUCCUUUUAUAUGUCAAGAAAAUGACGGUAGCAUAUGAAUAAGCACCGGCUAACUCCGUGCCAGCAGCCGCGGUAAUACGGAGGGUGCAAGCGUUAUUCGGAAUCACUGGGCGUAAAGGACGCGUAGGCGG